AAUGGUAAUCUUUGGUAUGAAAUGCGUAAGGUGGAAUAAUCGUAUUAAAUUGUGAUUAAACUAACCACCUUGAAAACAAUGAUGAUAGUUUGACGCGUAACAAGCUAGGUGGAAGCUUGAUGAGGGAGCGGGUCAAACGAAUCAAGAAGGAAAGGAAAAAAGCAUAGUUCGGACACGAGGUAAGUAUAUCUUACACUAGUCAUAUAUUUCAUAAUAUCCUUUUGUCGUAUUACGAAAAAGAUAAUUUAUGACGUAAGCCAUAGUAGGCUAAAAAGUGUUAAGAAAUGGAAUUAUAAGUAAGUGACCGCACGGUGUAAAUCGGAGCGAGUCAUAUAUAUAUAUUUACGAGGUGGUAAUAAAUAUCAUCUCGCUAAUAUAAUCGGUCAAUUCGGCCAAACGGGUCAAAAGGUGAAAUUAUCACCCUUUGACAAUAUCGACUAAUGGGUUGUCAAGAUGCAUGAUUUUAGGAAAUAAAUAGCACAUGGAUGCUUACACCGCUAUCGCUUAGCAGCCACUAAGGAAAUGUAUUGAAACGGGUCAAUAUAUUGAUCCGAGCCAGGUGAAGAUGGGAUAAGCGGUUUGAAAGAUACGAAAGUUUUCGUGCAAAUAAACGGCAAAAUAGGAAGGCUGGAAUGCAGGGGCCACCGUAACUUACGGUGCCACCGUAAGUUACGGUGGAGCUGAAGGCUUUACGGCAGCCCCCUACUGAUUUACGGUUCUUUUUGGAUGCCGGAAGACGAUCAAGCUCAUCGAAGGACCGAACACGAUAAAGAUACAUGCUUCCGCACAUUUCCUCGUCGUAAAUUUUUAAACGAUAAAUUCGAUCACUUAUGUUGAAUAACUUAUGAUUUGUAAAAGUUUUAAUAAACUCGUAUUUUCAUAGUAUGUGUAAACUUAAUUACACAUCUAAUUGUUGGUAUUUAUAUAUAAAAAAAAACCGUUAAAUAGUAA